GUCGAACGAGGGUAGCAAUACCUUAGUGGCGAACGGGUGAGUAAUAUAUCGGAACGUGCCCUAGAGUGGGGGACAACCAGUCGAAAGAUUGGCUAAUACCGCAUACGAUCUAUGGAUGAAAGUGGGGGACCUUCGGGCCUCAUGCUCCUGGAGCGGCCGAUAUCUGAUUAGCUAGUUGGUAGGGUAAAAGCCUACCAAGGCAUCGAUCAGUAGCUGGUCUGAGAGGACGAUCAGCCACACUGGGACUGAGACACGGCCCAGACUCCUACGGGAGGCAGCAGUGGGGAAUUUUGGACAAUGGGGGAAACCCUGAUCCAGCAAUGCCGCGUGAGUGAAGAAGGCCUUCGGGUUGUAAAGCUCUUUUGUCAGGGAAGAAAAGGCUAUGGCUAAUAUCCAUGGCUGAUGACGGUACCUGAAGAAUAAGCACCGGCUAACUACGUGCCAGCAGCCGCGGUAAUACGUAGGGUGCGAGCGUUAAUCGGAAUUACUGGGCGUAAAGGGUGCGCAGGCGGUUGUACAAGACGGAUGUGAAAUCCCCGGGCUUAACCUGGGAAUGGCAUUCGUGACUGUACGGCUAGAGUGUGUCAGAGGGGGGUAGAAUUCCACGUGUAGCAGUGAAAUGCGUAGAUAUGUGGAGGAAUACCGAUGGCGAA
rnacentral:rRNA from 1 species